GGUUAAGUUAGAAAGGGCGCACGGUGGAUGCCUUGGCACUAGGAGCCGAUGAAGGACGGGACGAACACCGAUAUGCUUCGGGGAGCUGUAAGCAAGCUUUGAUCCGGAGAUUUCCGAAUGGGGAAACCCACCACUCGUAAUGGAGUGGUAUCCAUAUCUGAAUACAUAGGAUAUGAGAAGGCAGACCCGGGGAACUGAAACAUCUAAGUACCCGGAGGAAGAGAAAGCAAAUGCGAUUCCCUGAGUAGCGGCGAGCGAAACGGGACCAGCCCAAACCAAGAGGCUUGCCUCUUGGGGUUGUAGGACACUCUGUACGGAGUUACAAAGGAACGAGGUAGAUGAAGAGGUCUGGAAAGGCCCGCCAUAGGAGGUAACAGCCCUGUAGUCAAAACUUCGUUCUCUCCUGAGUGGAUCCUGAGUACGGCGGAACACGUGAAAUUCCGUCGGAAUCCGGGAGGACCAUCUCCCAAGGCUAAAUACUCCCUAGUGACCGAUAGUGAACCAGUACCGUGAGGGAAAGGUGAAAAGCACCCCGGAAGGGGAGUGAAAGAGAUCCUGAAACCGUGUGCCUACAAGUAGUCAGAGCCCGUUAACGGGUGAUGGCGUGCCUUUUGUAGAAUGAACCGGCGAGUUACGAUCCCGUGCAAGGUUAAGCAGAAGAUGCGGAGCCGCAGCGAAAGCGAGUCUGAAUAGGGCGAAUUGAGUACGUGGUCGUAGACCCGAAACCAGGUGAUCUACCCAUGUCCAGGGUGAAGUUCAGGUAACACUGAAUGGAGGCCCGAACCCACGCACGUUGAAAAGUGCGGGGAUGAGGUGUGGGUAGGGGUGAAAUGCCAAUCGAACCUGGAGAUAGCUGGUUCUCUCCGAAAUAGCUUUAGGGCUAGCCUCAAGGUAAGAGUCUCGGAGGUAGAGCACUGAUUGGACUAGGGGCCCCUACCGGGUUACCGAAUUCAGUCAAACUCCGAAUGCCGAUGACUUAUCCUUGGGAGUCAGACUGCGAGUGAUAAGAUCCGUAGUCGAAAGGGAAACAGCCCAGACCGCCAGCUAAGGUCCCAAAGUAUACGUUAAGUGGAAAAGGAUGUGGAGUUGCUUAGACAACCAGGAUGUUGGCUUAGAAGCAGCCACCAUUUAAAGAGUGCGUAAUAGCUCACUGGUCGAGUGACUCUGCGCCGAAAAUGUACCGGGGCUAAACGUAUCACCGAAGCUGCGGACUGUUCUUCGAACAGUGGUAGGAGAGCGUUCUAAGGGCUGUGAAGCAAGACCGGAAGGACUUGUGGAGCGCUUAGAAGUGAGAAUGCCGGUAUGAGUAGCGAAAGAGGGGUGAGAAUCCCCUCCACCGAAUGCCUAAGGUUUCCUGAGGAAGGCUCGUCCGCUCAGGGUUAGUCGGGACCUAAGCCGAGGCCGAAAGGCGUAGGCGAUGGAUAACAGGUUGAUAUUCCUGUACCACCUCCUCACCAUUUGAGCAAUGGGGGACGCAGGAGGAUAGGGUAAGCGCGGUAUUGGAUAUCCGCGUCCAAGCAGUUAGGCUGGGAAAUAGGCAAAUCCGUUUCCCGUGAAGGCUGAGCUGUGAUGGCGAGCGAAUUAUAGUAGCGAAGUUCCUGAUUCCACACUGCCAAGAAAAGCCUCUAGCGAGGUGAGAGGUGCCCGUACCGCAAACCGACACAGGUAGGCGAGGAGAGAAUCCUAAGGUGAUCGAGAGAACUCUCGUUAAGGAACUCGGCAAAAUGACCCCGUAACUUCGGAGAAGGGGUGCUCUGUUAGGGUGCAAGCCCGAGAGAGCCGCAGUGAAUAGGCCCAGGCGACUGUUUAGCAAAAACACAGGUCUCUGCGAAGCCGUAAGGCGAAGUAUAGGGGCUGACGCCUGCCCGGUGCUGGAAGGUUAAGAGGAGCGCUUAGCGUAAGCGAAGGUGCGAAUUGAAGCCCCAGUAAACGGCGGCCGUAACUAUAACGGUCCUAAGGUAGCGAAAUUCCUUGUCGGGUAAGUUCCGACCCGCACGAAAGGCGCAACGAUCUGGGCACUGUCUCAACGAGAGACUCGGUGAAAUUAUAGUACCUGUGAAGAUGCAGGUUACCCGCGACAGGACGGAAAGACCCCGUGGAGCUUUACUGCAGCCUGAUAUUGAAUGUUGGUACAGCUUGUACAGGAUAGGUAGGAGCCUUGGAAACCGGAGCGCCAGCUUCGGUGGAGGCAUCGGUGGGAUACUACCCUGGCUGUAUUGACCUUCUAACCCGCCGCCCUUAUCGGGCGGGGAGACAGUGUCAGGUGGGCAGUUUGACUGGGGCGGUCGCCUCCUAAAAGGUAACGGAGGCGCCCAAAGGUUCCCUCAGAAUGGUUGGAAAUCAUUCGCAGAGUGUAAAGGCACAAGGGAGCUUGACUGCGAGACCUACAAGUCGAGCAGGGACGAAAGUCGGGCUUAGUGAUCCGGUGGUUCCGCAUGGAAGGGCCAUCGCUCAACGGAUAAAAGCUACCCCGGGGAUAACAGGCUUAUCUCCCCCAAGAGUCCACAUCGACGGGAGGUUUGGCACCUCGAUGUCGGCUCAUCGCAUCCUGGGGCUGUAGUCGGUCCCAAGGGUUGGGCUGUUCGCCCAUUAAAGCGGUACGCGAGCUGGGUUCAGAACGUCGUGAGACAGUUCGGUCCCUAUCCGUCGCGGGCGCAGGAAAUUUGAGAGGAGCUGUCCUUAGUACGAGAGGACCGGGAUGGACGCACCGCUGGUGUACCAGUUGUUCUGCCAAGGGCAUCGCUGGGUAGCUAUGUGCGGACGGGAUAAGUGCUGAAAGCAUCUAAGCAUGAAGCCCCCCUCAAGAUGAGAUUUCCCAUUCCGCAAGGAAGUAAGAUCCCUGAAAGAUGAUCAGGUUGAUAGGUCUGAGGUGGAAGUGUGGCGACACAUGGAGCUGACAGAUACUAAUCGAUCGAGGACUUAACCAA
rnacentral:rRNA from 1 species